UUCAGCUUCUGAAGAAGUCUAUGCAGCUAUCAACCACUGAUCCUGCUUCUUGAUUCCACCACUCAGGGCUGACAGCAGCCCCCUCACAAUUCCCUAGCCAGUUGCCGGUUGUAUACAGUGGAGACAGGUGUAUUCAGUAUGUGUCUACUGAAGGAGAGGUGGAGGCAGGAAUGAUGGCAUCUGGGAGGGCAAGGCUGACUGGACUUGUUGGUACAGAGUGUUACCGCCAGCAGGAUGUAGACAUAGAUUGGAGUGAUCGAUGCAACUGAGGAUGACCUUGGAUUAUUUUGUCCACAGGAUGGCCCCCAGUUGCCUCAUAUCAAGGAGCUAAAAAAUAAUGGCUGAUUCUCAGUGGGACAGAAGACGUGACAUUACCAUUGCAAGCAUCGCUGCCAAUAUUGUGGUCUCAAGUAUACAGCAUUUGUUGGUGUAGACACAGAGAUGAACAAAAGCUGCAUCUGAAAAGUCAAACCUUAGUCCACAGAUCUAAGUGCCAAAGUGAA